rnacentral:hammerhead_ribozyme from 1 species
AUCCAUCUGACGAGUCCUGAAUAGGAUGAAACGCGCAUCUUGGAU